ACUGUCCUGGCUUUAUGAGGGGGCUCUCCUGCUUUUUCAAGCCCUUCCAGAAGUCUGAAUGGAGAAAGGUGCCUUAAGAGGAGAGGAGUGAGCUGUGUGAGUUAAUGGGAGCUGACAGGGAUGCCUGCAAGAAUACACCAUCACAUAUGACGGGAAACCAACUAGAUCCAUGCCCCACAUUCAUUGGUAAGCAAGAUAUUUGGGAACAGAGAGCGUGUUUGAAGUACUUAGUUCUUCUGCUGUGCAGAAUUCAUACUAAAUUUGACAGCCUGUGCCUUGAUUUGAUGAUACCGUUCUCCUAAAAGGAAGAAGCAAAUUGAUUGCUUGUUAACAGAAUGCUCUAAAUUAACCUCAGGCAUGGGCCUGGGCCUGCAAACCUUUGCAUGACUGUGACUAUUAUUUAUGCUGUAUGAUUGCAUUGAAUACCGCUGACUGUUCAGUAUAUUGGCCUGGCACAGCUGCGCUGAAAUUUUAGUUGUGGCUUUCAGUUGUUGGAAACAAAAUUUUUGAAGCUGUUUAGGUGUUUGGAUUUUGAAUACCCCGUUAAGCACCUACUUGACUAUUUAAAUGCCUAGAUGUCUUUGUACAUCUAGUGUUGCCAUAAUGCAAAAAAAAAAAGGAAAUGAUAUAGAAGGUUUGCUGGGUCAGGCCUCUGGUUUCAUAUCCCAGCAGUGAUAACUAGGUAUAUACACCAUAGUUCCCCACAAACAUCUUUUCUGCUUGAGGAAUCUUGAUGGAGACUUUUACACAGUAGAGAUAAAAACACUGCAAACAUACAUCCUGCAUUAGCCUUUAUAUAUUUUAUAGCUGUACUGCUCUAGUGUGGUAAACUGAGCUGAGCAAUCACAUUUUUUCAAUUAUCCUCAAGAACAGGAAAUCCUUAUCACCUCUGUGUUUCUUUCUCCCACUACUGCAGCAUUGGUCUUGAAAUUGUCACCACAGCUCAAAAUCCUCAUUCUGUAAAUUAAACUGUGAUUUAAAAAAAUUUUACAGUACAGCCUCCUCAUAAAACUCCACAAGUCUUUUAGUGAUGUGACUCACUCAAUUACUCAUGUGGGCAGACGUUCAGAUAAUAAAAGUAGUUAAUGGAAAGCUGUGAGAAAUACUGCUGGUUCCUGAGGAGGCAGCCAGGGGAAGGCUACUGCGGGUAUUUUAUCCGAAGAGCUGCUGAAUUCACUGAGCUCCCAGCCAUUUUUUUAAGAUAAGGAUUUCUCCGUUCUGCUUUUUCUUUUGUAUAAGAACAGCUUGAGAAAUCAGACUGGCAACAGAGAAGCAAAAGCACACCAGCUGUACAUGUUUGCUCUUCUGCUCCUCUUCCUACAUAUUAGGGACGAUAGCCAGCCUGUGCCCUGAAAAAAUCUCUUUAUCCUAGUGAUGUGUGUACCUAAAGAACACUCAGUACUCUAAUGAGCUCUGGAUUCCUGAAUCAAGUUGUGGAACUAACAAGUAGCUAAAUAACCCCUUUGUUUGGAGGUGUCACAUAUACUGACAAGGAUCAGAUUUUUCUGGAAUUAAUAAUAGUGCCUUGAGUUUGGUGUGCAAUAGGUCAGGUAAUACAUCUAGAAAGCAGGUUUCAGUGACAUUUCAGUGAGUGCACAUUAGAGGAAUAUGGCACAUUUUGAAGUUGGUGAGGCAGAAAGGUACUGAAGAGUAGUAAGGUACCACUUGGAUGUAAGAGCUCCCUUACAAAAUGAAAUUACAUGUAUGAUGACUUCAAGGAGACUUAGAAUUAAGCCAAAACUGGAACUAAUGUAAGUGGACCGGCUGAUUAGAGCUAAGGGCUAACUGGCAUUCGCAAAACAACCAGAGCAGUUAACUCUUGGUUGUGUGGCUCUGAGGCUGCUAGAUUUCCUUAUAAAUGGCUGUGUGAGCCCAUUCCAAUAACAGUGCUGGAUAUAGAAAGAGAGAGGACAUGAGGAUAUGCUCAUAUUUCAUGCAGAAUGAGCUGCAGGGAGACUAUGGCUUGACUUGUAAAAUAGAGCUUCUGGCACAGAGAAGCAGUGCAUGGAUGUUGAGGCUCUGGAUCAGAGAAAGUAAGCUGUCAAAUUAUAUUUAGCGACUACAUGCUGCAGGAAAGCGCAGAGAGGGAAGGAGGGAACUAUUGCGUAGCUGGGCCCCAUGAGUAGUGAGCACACAGACCAGGGAAUGAGGCUGUUAAGAGAGGAUGAAUUGCCUUGGUGUUCCUGAUUCAAAUAAAUCUCUGUGUGAGGCCAGGGAUCUGCACAGACUUGUAUGACUAGUUUGAUCAGCAGAACCCUGCUUUAUUUAUCCCCAGACUCCAUCAGGUGAAGAGUGACCAACUUGUGGCCUUCCAGCCAUUCCCUCUGCCCUCACCCUAGGGACGUUUCCCACAGCAAUGCCAUUCCCAGCUGGGGAAGCAGUAGUCUGAUGGGGGCUCUUGGAACCAAUAUCUCAAACUGCUGUACAGCCCAGCUGCACACCCGGCUCAGUCCCAACCCAUCAGAAGCUUGUUAGCUAAGGCUGGCAUCUGCAAAAUAGGUUACCCUGCUCCAUUUGAAUUCAGGGGUGUGAGUGCUCCAUUGUGUUCCCUGGAAAGCCCAGUUCUAAAGAGAUGAAGGUGGAAAAAAAGUCCUUAUACCUGUAUGAGAUAGAUCAAACCUUGUGUGCUGACAUGUGACAGUUGAUCAUUUGGGUCCUGUCUUAUACUCCGGGGUGCAGAGAUUGUGACUGACUAGUUUAUAGUAGGAUGGGUACAUCUUAGGCUCUAAUUCUUUCCUGCUAAAAACUCACUUGUAUGAUUCAGAGAUGUCUUUGCCUUUGCAAUAAAUAAGGCCUUUAAGCUCCCUCUCAGAGGAGACAGUGUGGGGAGGCCUGGCUGCCUUCUCUGCAUAUAUAUUUCUGUCAAACUGGAUUCAGGCUGAGGUGGGUGAAACUGCUGCACCAACAGGGAGCCAUCAACUUCCAUCUCUUGUUAGGCAGUACUGCAUCAUUGAGAUUUGUGUUGUUACUGUACUGUCAAAAAUAGCUGUGAGUGAGAGAAAUGCUCCCAUGUGUUCACCAAGCAGGAGGACAGAGCAGUUAGGAGAAGGAGGGAGAUGCAGACUGUGAUAGUGAACAGAAGAUGUGCAAGGAGGAACUGCCUUCACAGUCUCAUGAAAGGGUGACCGUGAUGCGUGAUGGAAGGCGGAAGGAUGACUUCACAGAUGUAAUUUAUUAUACUUCCUAUGCAAGGGAGUUAUACUAGUUCCAGAAAAAACACACACUGCUUUGGUGGCUCCUAAGAAUAUGCAAGGGAGAAACAAAGACCUCAGAGAACAGUUCUACCUGUUGCAGCUGCUGCAGAUCAAACUUGCAAAUGUGAAAAAAGCAUCAGUAGGUGCUUUGGAUCAUGAGACUGGCAAAGGCUGGCCAUCCAGGCAGAGGCAGAUGCAGAUACUGUGAAGUGAGCAUGACUGGGUCUUUGUUGAGGCAGUGAAGAUACAUACUUCAGUUACAGACUGUUUUCUUCACUUACCCAGUUUUCCUUCCCUCUCUCCACUAAAUGUUACCCUUCAGCUGAAGGGCCUAUAUAUAUGGUCAGUACACAUGACCAGAACUUUGGUGUCAGAGUCCUUUGUCCUUUAUACAGAAGCAAAUCUGCUCAGCUCCAUGUGAUGUAGCAGCACAGGGAUUUUUUCUUUUGUUUCUACUGUUUACAAAAUGUGGGGAAAAAAAAGUUAAAGGAAAAAUGGUUAUAAAACUAGAGCAGAGUUAUAUAAACACGUGAACUGAAAACCUGCAGGAGAAUCUUUCUCCAUAGAGCAAAGUAAAUGGAAGAGGCUUUUGGCUGUGAUUUCUUACUGUGGUGCAAAAAAUAGGUGGCCUUUGAACUACCCCAUUAUUACUUUUCUCUAAUAAAGAAUUGGUGAUUCAAUCUGUAUACAGGACACCCACACAGAGUUCCCAGCUGGAAGAGUGCACAUGACCAAAGGGUCGGUUUGUCUGUGCAAACUAUUGUGAGUAGGAAACACCCUUGGGUGAUGGGCAGAGGUAAAAACAUAAUGCAUGAAAGAGAACUUGGAAGAAUAGUGGUCUCACUGUGCUUUUGGAUCUUGACCUCCAAUAUAAACUCUCUAGACUGCUUGCCUUUCUAUUUUCUAGUGACUGUUUGAACGGCACCUUUAGGUGCCGUUUGCUUCUCAGUCUUAAAGAUACUGAUCUAAGGGAAAAUCUUGCACAAAAGGAUUGAGGAAAAGCUAGAAAAGUUAAAGUGUGUCAUAAAUUAGGGCUGAGAGAAUAUAAGAAAAUAGUUUAGCACAUCACUUGACAGAUGGGAAGUCAUUUAUGUAAAUUUAGGGAAGUAGUUGUUGGAUUCAAUUCGUCUAAUUUAAACACUAUUUCUAAUUAUUUUUGGUAUGUAUACAGAGGAUUAUAUGAUGGCCAUUAUUCUGACAGGAAGGCUCUUCAUAUUUAAAUUUAAAUCUGUAAAUUAUUACGCUAUUAAAAUGUAAACAUGCUGUGAUAACAAGCACCUGAUUAUGCAGACAGGUUAGUCCAGCUACUCUGGUGAACAGCUGUGUGCAUGUAUUUCAGAUAAUGCUUUUUUUUACAGCCUAAAAACCACAAGCAAGCCUUUGAGAGGUCAAGAGAUGUCUGACCCACAGGUGGGAGCUGCCUGUAAGGAGGUUUGCUGGUACUGAGUGCAGAUCUGAGAGCAGAUGGGCUCUCACAGGUUUCCAAUGAAAGCAGGCCCUGGCGGCACCCAAAAGUACAGAGGGAAGAUGACACAAUUAACAAUUCCCCCUCCCUACAGUCUGGUGCUGCUAAUCCCAAGUUAAAACUCCUAACAGCAUCUUUGGAGAACCUUCCUCUUCACAUCUUGACAAUUUUCUCCUUUUUGCCAAGAGAAAGAUCAUGCAGGUUUACUGGGAAGCUGCCAAAUGACAGCUUGACUUCACACCUGAGAAGCAAAUGAAUGAGGAGAGAAGGAAAGCCUCAGCCUGGCUCCAGCCUGGCACAAACACAAAGAGUCCUGGGAGUGUGGGCAUGAGCAACCCCUGGAGCUGCAGCAGCAGCAGAUGUGACAUGAGCAGAGUCCAAGCUGAAGCUACUGUGGAGGAGGGAGCAUGGGGCCCAUUACCAAACUGCAAAAGAGUUAUCAUCUGCUGCAGACCCUAGGGUGAGGUGGAGACUUGCCCAUGGAUGAUUUUUGGAAGUGUGGGACAAGGCUUGGAGCUCCACACUGUACAGCAGCCCUUCUUGAGCUGAUUUGGCUGGCUUUCCUUCCCAGAGCCAUUGCAACAAAGGCUCAGAUCAGCUCUCUCAAAAGGUGCAUUAACAAUCAGCAGGGCAGCUGACAACCAUGAUUUAUUCUUUAACUACCCCAAAACUGUAUUUUUGGAUGUGUAACUCAUGGUUUAUAAACUCUGGGGGUAAAGGGCACCAAGAAUGAGGCUUCAUGACACUCACUUCUUCAAACCUUGUGGUUUUAGGGCGGAGAGUGCCAGACUGUUGAGGGGAGCUGCAGCUGGCCUGACUCCAUACUGGCACAGCCCUGCACUGGUGCGGGUGCUGGGGGACAGUGUGGGUGCUCAUGUGCAGUCACCUCUCUCCUCCCCAUACACGUCAUGGCAGGAGGUCUCUGGCAGGGUGUUCUGGGAUUCUUAAGCCGUUCUGUGAGAUGAAGACUACUGCAGCUGUAAAAUAUGAAUUGCUCUUGGCUCUUUAACUGCCUGUAGAAAAGUCAAGUACUUGAAGUUUUGAAUUUUAGUCCAUAUUUUAAAAUGGGAGAAAAACGCUUUGCAUAUGAAAUUUUUUUCAGCAGUAUGAUGAUCACUGUGCCUGACUCAUCCUUCAUAUGGGUGAACUAAGCAAGCUAAAAGAAAUAUCCCUCAGGGCAGGGAUUUCUAUCUCAUUUUUCUUUUAAGGGAAGAAACUUCCAAGGACUGGCCCCGAAGACUACCAGGUUGUUGGAUAACCCCACUAGGUGUUUGCAAUCUGCAAUUCUAAAGUCAGCAGGCGACCAGGCAUAUCUAGCUGGAUGCCUUUGCAACAGCUCUCAAGGCAAGAGAACAAGUGUUCCUCUAGUACGAGGUUGAUGCACAGGUCCUGCAGUGCUGGAUCUUCUCUGGUUGACUACCACAGAAGUGUCUGUAAGUCUGUAAGGUGAAGGCUGGGAAAGCGUCAGGCUGUUGUGUGACUGUGUAAGGGACGGCAUGUAACCCAGGGCUGCACUACAGAGGCAGCCAGAGCUUUGUGGAGCCUCAUGGGAACAUGAGGUGAGUAAUCACAGCUGCAAUUCAUUUCAAAGAGGCAAGUGAGCUCCCUGGAGAAAGCUGGGACACUUCUGCUGAGAGGGCGUUUUUUAGGGGGGUGGGGAAAAGGCUAUUUUUCUGCUCAGGUGGAAGAAUUAAGUGGGAAAGCCUUGCACCUUCCUCAAAGGGUGGGCAUUUUCAUCACAAUUGUAGAGUGACUUCCCUGGGAUAUAAAGUCAGUCAGUAUUAAAGCUAGGAACUGACCGAACAGACCUCUUAGCUCAUGGCUUCAGUGCUGUCCUGCAGCCACGAG